AUUCCAGCUCCAAUAGCGUAUAUUAAAGUUGUUGCAGUUAAAAAGCUCGUAGUUGGAUUUCUGACAGGGGGCCGAACACCACUGUAGUGAGUGUUUUGGUACCUGUCAUCCUUCUGUUAACCCUAGCGUCAUUCAUUUGUCGUUGGGCGGACCAGAUACUUUACCUUGAGAAAAUUAGAGUGUUUCAGGCAGGCCUAGCCGGAAUACAUUAGCAUGGAAUAAUGGAAUAGGACUAUAGUCUCGUCGUUGGUUACGUGGACUGCAGUAAUGAUUAAUAGGGAUAGUUGGGGGUAUUCAUAUUUGAUUGUCAGAGGUGAAAUUCUUGGAUUUUUCAAAGAUGAACAAGUGCGAAAGCAUUUACCAAGGAUGUUUUCAUCA
rnacentral:rRNA from 1 species